CCUACGGGUGGCUGCAGUGGGGAAUAUUGCACAAUGGGCGCAAGCCUGAUGCAGCCAUGCCGCGUGUGUGAAGAAGGCCUUCGGGUUGUAAAGCACUUUCAGCGGGGAGGAAGGCGUUAAGGUUAAUAACCUUGUCGAUUGACGUUACCCGCAGAAGAAGCACCGGCUAACUCCGUGCCAGCAGCCGCGGUAAUACGGAGGGUGCAAGCGUUAAUCGGAAUUACUGGGCGUAAAGCGCACGCAGGCGGUCUGUCAAGUCGGAUGUGAAAUCCCCGGGCUCAACCUGGGAACUGCAUUCGAAACUGGAAGGCUAGAGUCUGGUAGAGGGGGGUAGAAUUCCAGGUGUAGCGGCAAAAGGGGUAAAGAUCUGGGGGAAUACCGGCGGCGAAGGCGGCCCCCUGACAAAGACUGACGCUCAGGUGCGAAAGCGUGGGGAGCAAACAGGAUUAGAUACCCCUGUAGUC
rnacentral:rRNA from 1 species